UAAGGUAAGCGGCGACAACGAAAUGAUCAUUCGUUGUGUUUGAUAUCAAAUUGCAAGGUGUGUUCAUUAGAACGUAAGUGUGAAGUCCAUGUUACGUUGCCAGCAGAAUAUAGAACAAAACAGUUACAUUGUGAACAACUGGUCGCAAGUUACAUCUAAUUUCAUGCAAACAGAAGCAAAAUGUGGAAAGUCGUAAUAAUCUCACUCCUUGGAAUUCUGAUAGAUAUACAGAGCGUAGACGCCGAAACAUGCUCCAUUUCCGAAUAUGGCUUCGAUUGCCUAAAGACUCUAUGGUGGUUCUGGU